UGCACAUCUGCUGAAACUGCCAAAACUCUGGAGUCCAAAUCAGCACGGAUGCGAGCGACUUUAUCUGCAAAGUGACACGCAAACUGAUCACAGCGGGCUGUGGAUUGUUCCUCCCCCAUUACCUGGGGGGAUGUGUGCAGCAGUGUCUUAGCUACAUGAAACAGCUCAGCUGGUCUGCACUGAGCAAAUGCAUUGGAGGUGGAGAAAAAGCAUUUUUCCGAGGAAUGGGGAGGGCAUCCUAACUUGACGGGUUGUCAGCCUUCUCAUGCUUCAAGACAGGGCCAAUCAGAUUUCAGAUCUGUAAAUACUAUGCUGCUCCAGCCACACCCAACCCAGUUCCGGUCCUGUCUUGCUUCAAGUCAGUCCACAAGCUGCCCAGUCUCCUCUAGCUUCUAGCUGCCUUAGGCUUGUUUUUCCUUGGUUAUCCUCUUCCUUUUUUGCUUUGUGUCUCUGCACUUGUUCCACUCAUGGAGCUUUCAUAUUGCAGUGACAUGCUGAAGGGCACACUUUUGGAGGGCCCCCUCUUAGAGGCUAUGUUGGCACCCACCUAUGCGGUGUCUGGGACUGCUGCCGUGUGCGCUGCUGGGUUUUCUGAGGGAACCAUUGCUAAAAGCUCUGAGAUGGCUCCGUGCCUAGAGCUCGUUCUGCCCCCAAAAGUGGCAAAGAAGACCAAACACUUAAAUGGCCCAGACGUGGCCUAAAGGAAAAAGGAAUGCAAGCUGGCCUCCGGUGGUGCUCCACUUUGUGAGAGGCUUCAGCUACAGGCAGUACGGGCGCGGCUAUCACCAACGGCAGUCUCUGAGAUUCCCGCCAAAACCACAGCAGCAAUUAUGUCUCUCCUCAGCCCAUGCCUGUUUAUAAGGCUUUGCCUUCGGCCUUGCCGCUCGCUGCUUCUGCACUCCUACAGGGGGUGCGCUCAGAAACGCCUGAGACUAUUACCAGCCCUAACAAUGAGGCUUUGUCAGCCGGUGAGUUGCAGUGGUUGGGGGACUUUGUUUAAAAAAAACAAUGUUUGUCCCUGGUGUCUCCUUUGUUGGAACAGUUGGGUUCUUCAGGGCAGGUAGCUGCCAUCGUUCCCCCACCCCCGAGUGUGAGGGGGCUGCCUUGCGGGGGAUGGGGGAGUGGCAUCUGAAGCCCUGGCUAGGCCCCCUGGGUGCCCUUCCUUUUCUUCCUCCCCCGAUUCAAGCCCUCAGAAGGGCUAUUCCGCAAAGCAAGCAGUUUCAGUUUUCCCUCCCCUCUAAAAGGAGACUCCAUAAAAGAAAAAGAGUGCCACUGCCAGAUGAGGGCAUUAGGGCACCUAAACGCCCCCUAGUGGCUCCUCUGCCAGCAGCAGCAUCUUCUGUUGUUACUGCUGUGCCCCCACCUCAUCACUCUGCUGCUGUUUCUUCUGACAGAGAGUCCUCUGAGUCAGAAAAGGAAGAAGGGGAAUUGUCUGAUGAACAGAACCCUUCUCAAGAGAGACCCAGCUCUUGUUUGCUUUCCUUGUCAGAGUUCGAGGUUUUGUUGGCCAAAGUGAAAAGAGUUAUUAAGGAUGUGUCCCCAGAAUCAGGGGUUCCUUACAAUUCAGGUUUAGAUCAAGAGGUUUUCCCCUCUACCUCGGCUUCAACAGCCACGAUUCCUUUUCCCACUCUCUUCAAGGAUGUACUGUUAGCAGAAAAAAGGGGGGUGCCUGUUACCACUAAACCUGUUUUGACUUUUCCUAAGAAAUUAUAUACUCUGCUGCCUGACAUUAUGUCUUUGUUAGCUACUCUCAUUGUAGAUGCUCCUGUGGUGCAAUUAGCGUUGUGUGCGUAGCUGAAUAAGAAGUCACCUGAGGAGAAGAAGGCGGAUCAUCUUCUACGAAAAGGUCAUGAGGCCUCGGCCACUGUCAUUGGAGCAGUAACAACCAAUUCAAUCUUUGCUAGGGCGUCCAUUCGUUAGGUGAAAGAACUGAUAAGAGUGGUGCCUCCAGAAAAUGUUGAACUUCAGCAAUGUCUUUAUAAAUUGGCCAGGGUGUCUCUCUUAUGGCUGACUUGAGCCUUCAUUGUCUGCAACAUGCCUCCCGUGCCAUGGCAGCAGGGGUGGCGGUCAGGAGAGGCUUAAGGCUGAGACAUUAGAAAAUAGACAUGAAGUCAAAGUUGCCUUGGCUGCUACUCCCUUUUUAGGAGGGAAGUCAUUUGGAGAGUCUUUAGAUCCAGUUUUGGUUGAAACCCGUGACAUAAAAAUAAUAAUAUAAAUAAAAAAUAAAUAAAAUAAAAUAAAGGCCAUGCCUAUGGGGCAAGGGGAAGCUCGUAGGGGGUUUAAUUCCUCAUUUCAGAGUUCCUUUCAUCCCUACAGAAAUUCACCCUGCGCAGGUUAUGCUGGCUUCAGGGGCACUGACAGAGACAAAGACAACCGAGGCUUGGCAUUCAGAGGGUCCUGGAAACUAUCCUGGUCCGGCAGGAACAGGGGACAGAAUAAGAAUUGAUUGGGCUCCUUCGCCAACAGUGCAGAUUCCAGGAAUCGUAAGCAAUGAUGUUGGGACCGUCUCCUGGACUUUGCCAGGACCUAGGUGCUGAUCACCACCGAUCAGUGGGUUAUUCGUACGGUUACCCGGGGUUAUUCAAUAGAUUUCGUAUCUGUUCCCCAUGAUUUUCUUUUUGUAACUCCUGUUUCCAGACAGCGUUCCAAAAGGCUUCUGAUGGAGCAGGUUAUUCUUCAUCAUGGCAAGGCGUGUUUUCUUUGCUCUUCUCGGUUCCAAAGAAGGAUGACACCUGGCGUGCGAUUCUCGACCUGAAACGUCUAAACUGCCUUGUGAGGAAGUGGACCUUCAGGAUGGAGUUGUUAAAGUCCAUCAAGAGAUCAGUCCACCCGUGGAAUUGGCUUUCAUCUAUAGACUUGUCAGAGGCUUAUCUGCACGUCCCAGUUCACCUGAGGUAGCGUCGUUUCCUGAGGUUUGCUUACAAUCAACAGCACUUCCAAUACAGAGCAUUGCCUUUUGGCCUGUCAUUGGUGCCCCGAGUAUUUACAAAAUUGAUGGUAGCUGUCAUCGUGCACGCAUGGGAAUUCAGGCCUAUCCAUAUUUGGACAAUGUGUUGAUCAUCUUCAACUGUCUCACAUUCUGCUACAUCUGGGAGUCCUUUUCAAUAUGGAGUUAGCAUUAGUAUCUCUACCAGUAGAGUGUCAGAACAAGCUCACAGAGACUAUCGCUUCUUGGAUGCUGAAGAAGAAAGGGGACCUCAUGUUUCAAAUUUUGGGGCUCUUGAUUGCCUGCCUGGACUGUACUCCCUGGGCCAGAUUGCAUUCAACACCUCUCCAAUGGUUUCUUCUUCCUUUUUAAUUGGUGAUCAUUGAUAAGCAGCAUUUGAAGGUUACUCUUCCUUCCAAGGUCAGGGAAUCCUUUCGAUGGUGGCUUUCUCUGGCACUAGAGAGGGGUACAACAGAUGCGAGCCUAUCUGGCUGGGGGGCACACUGUCUCGCUCACCAUGCUCAAGGACUAUGGCUGGAAGAGGAAUUCCAGUUCAAUAUCAAUUGGCUAGAAUUGAAGGCCAUACGCAUGGCUCUGUUACAGUUCAGGGGCUAAUUCAGAACUGUCAUGCCUUGGUCAGAAUGGACAAUGUGAAGGCCAAGGCCCAUGUACACCAUCAAGGUGGCACGAGGUCACGAGUGCUUAUGCAGGAGGCGGAUUGCUUUCUGGCCUGGGCAAAGCUGAACCUGAAGUCCAUAGCGGCUGAACUCCUGAGCGGGGAGGAUAUUCUCCAGGCAGACUGGCUAAGUCACCAGUGAAUAGACCCGUUGGAAUGGUUACUGCUUCCGUUGGUGUUCGAUCAGAUUGUACACAGGUACAGUCCUCAUCCACUGGAUCUUUUUGCAACCAUGCACAAUACCAAGCUCCCAAGGUUCUUUGCCAGGCAUCACUGCAGACAGGCAGAAGAGAGGGAUGCUCUAGUGUCUCCCUGGCCUUCAGGGUUGCUGUACAUCUUUCCUCCGAUGCCAAUACUAGGUCUGGGGCUGCAGAAGAUUGUAGCGGAAAGGGCGGAAGUCGUUCUCAUUGUUCCAUAUUGGCCACGCCGACCUUGUUUCUCAGAGCUGGUGUCCAUGUCGAUUCAACCUCUGUGGCCACUUCCUCUCAGAAAAGACCUGCUUUCCCAGAGUCCUCUUCUGCACUCGGAUCUCGGCUGGCUGAGACUUCACGCCUGGAGGUUGAGCGCAAGCUCUUAGUGGAUAAAAGGUAUUCCUCUUGGGUUCAAGAUUCCAUUCUGGAGUCCAGGAGGCCGUCCACCUCUUGCAUAUAUCAACUUACCUGGCGUGCCUUCUGUUCUUGGACAGCAAAGCACGAUGUCCUUCCGGCUUCUGCUAGAGUGUUAGAAGUUUGGGGGUUUCUGCACUCUGGUUUAGAGAGUGGUCUUCGUCUGUACACCUUAAGGCAGCAGUUCUCUGCUCUAUCGUCUGUUUUGGACCUCAGGGAUUCUGGUUCUUCAUCUUUGCAUCCCCAUAUUAGUCAGUUUUUGAAGGGAGUGAGUAAUUUGGCUCCUCUUCCUAUCCACAGGUUUCCCACUUGGGAUUUAAAUAAGGUUUUAAAUACCUUGACCAAGGCUCCAUUUGAACCUCUCAGUUCUGUUGCUUUGAGGUAUUUGUCCAGGGUUUUAUUCUUAGUGGCGAUAAACUUAACCGCCUUGAGCCAUUUUUGGAAGGGCAGUGUAGAAAUUGAAUGAAUGAAUGAAUAAAUGAAUAAAAUAACCUCUUCUAGGAGGGUUUCGGAGUUGGCUGCCCUCUCAGUGAGAGAUGAGUUGUGUAUUUUUCAAAAAAGAGUCAGUUGUUUUAAAGUUGGAUCCUACCUUCUUAACGAAGGUCAGUUCUAUUUUCCACAGAAGCCAGGAAGUGGUGUUACCUUUGUUCUGUUCCAAGCCCAUGCAUCCUAAGGAACGUGUGUGGCAUAAGUUGGAUGUGUGAAGGGCUUUAAGAAAUUAUACCCACCAAACUCAGUCUUUUAGGAAAACGGACUCUUCCUUUGUUUCUUUUCAAGCAGGCUCCCUCGGGACCAAAGCUUCUAAAUUGUUUUUGGCCUGGUGGCUUAGGGCUUCGAUAGCCUUGUCUUAUGAGACAUUGAACCUAUCUGUGCCCAGAGGUAUCAUGGCGCAUUCAGUGAGAAGUGUGACUGCAUCGGCAGCUUUCUCAGCAAGAGCUCCCCUGGAGGAGAUUUGUAAAGCGGUCACAUCAAGUUCUAUUUCUCCUUUUGUGAGACACUAUAAGAUUUCUUCCUUCUGUGAUCCCCAGGCGGCGGGUGGAAGGACAAUUCUUCAGCGGGUGGUCUAGGCAUCCGCUCCCCACCCUUGAUUUCAUUCAGCUUGGGUGCGUCCCGUCAAGUUAGGAUGCCCUCCCCAUUCCUCGGAAAAAGAAACAUUGGUAGACUUACCAUGAAUUGUUCUUUUUCGAGGUAUGGGGAGGGCAUCCUGCCCUCCCACAGAUGCUGGGAAAGGAAUGAUAUUCCUUGGGUGGCGGGGCAACUCCCAGGGUUCAAGAUUGUGCUAUCCCUGUUCUUUCUCUUCCUUUGGAGGUCUCUGGAUUUUCCCUGGUUGACCUUUCUUCUGUUCUUGUUCAUUCUGUUUCUCUGGUGGUUGAAAGCCAGAGUUUUUUCUCCAUUAUGGGGCUACAGGUUUUUCGCUCACAGUCCUGGAACUGGGUUGGGUGUGGCUGGAGCAGCAUAGUAUAUACAGAUCUGAAAUCUGAUUGGCCCUGUCUUGAAGCAUGAGAAGGCUGACAACCCGUCAAGUUAGGAUGCCCUCCCCAUACCUCGAAAAAGAACAAUUGAUGAAGACGCAGUAUUUUGAAUACAGUAUCAUGUCUGGAAGCUUUUACUUUGUAAUUGUCGGCCAUCAUGAUAAUCCAGUGUUUGAAAUGGAAUUUCUCCCAGCUGGUAAAGUAGAAUCUAAGGAUGAUCAUCGCCAUCUCAAUCAGUUCAUAGCGCAUGCUGCUCUUGACUUAGUGGAUGAGAACAUGUGGUUGUCUAAUAAUAUGUACCUGAAGACUGUAGACAAGUUUAAUGAAUGCUCCACCGCAAAUCCUCUGGUAUCUGCCUCAGUUGGAAAAGUUAUCCUAUUUUUCUCAUCUUGCCUGGGCCAGCUUGAUCCCUUUCUGCAUGGCUUGCAUUUGUCUGCUUUUGACAUGCUAUAAUAUGGAUUUCUUAUGCUUCAUGAUGUAAGGCAAGAAGAUGGAAUAAAAAACUUCUUUAGUGAUGUCUAUGACUUGUAUAUAAAGUUUGCAAUGAAUCCAUUUUAUGAACCCAAUUCUCCUAUUCGAUCAACUGCAUUUGACAGAAAAGUUCAGUUCCUUGGAAAGAAGCAUCUCUUAAGCUGAAUUUCUAGAUCUGUUAGUUCUCUUAGCCCUGCUGUAUAUUUUGAAACAUUUUUUCCUGAACCUGUGAAGACCAAUCUGCUACUCAGCAAGAUGUUAUGAAGUGCUUAGGCUAGAGAAACAAUUUCAUAAAUCCAACAAUGUAUUUAUGGUAUCUGACAAAUUUAGAUGUAAAACGUUUGUACUUGCAUGUAUCAAAAUGUAAAAAAACAAAUCUUGAAUGUUUGAGGCAAUGGAGUUGCCAACAAUACUAAACGAAGAAUCUAGCUGCCGCCAAAAAGCUCUGGCUUUUGAUAGCAAGUAUGUUAUAGUAUUCUGUUCAGGGCUGUGUCAAUACCUAAAUACCAGGAUUGAGUUGAACAAAAGUAAUGACUGAGGAAAGUUUCAUUUUAAAUAAAGAUGGAGUAUAAGGUUAAAGUUAUACUCUGCUAGCUCUUAAGUCUAUUUAUUACAGUAGAGUGUCCUGAAAUGUGUAUCAAGGAACAUUCUUCCACUGCAAUUUUAUGCAUGUGUACUUGGAAGUAAGUCUAACUGACAUCAGUAGUACUUACUUCCUAGUAAGUGUGCACAGGAUUGCAGCAUUAGUAUAACCUGAAGGUAGUAUGGCACUAGUUAAAGCAUAACAUUUCAAGUACUUGUUUAGUUUAUUUAGAAAUUUGCUUAAGCAUUAUUUCCUGAGCAGUGAUAUUUCACUGUAUGAAAACACUAGAAUUAUCCUGUAACAGUUCUAUGUGUUAUGUUGUAUUUGUAGAUCUCAUUGACAUUCCAAAUAUAAAUUAAUGUUAAAUGUUACAGCCUGGUCCUUUGAAGUGCUCUAAGCUGGUCUUUCAAUCCCUGUUUAAUUAAACUACACUUUGACUAUUAAACAA